GAUGAACGCUGGCGGCGUGCCUAAUACAUGCAAGUCGAGCGAACGGACGAUAAUCUUGCUUCUCUGAUGUUUGCGGCGGACGUGUGUUUAACACGUGUAUAACCUACCUAUUAUUCUGUUAUAACUUCGUGAAUCCGGAUCUAAUACCGUAUAAUAUUUUGAUCCGCAUGGUUCAAAAGUUAUAUACGGUCUUGCUGUCUCUUAUAGAUUGUUCCCCUCUGCAUUAGCUAGUUGGUAAGGUAACGGCUUACCAAGGCAACGAUGCAUAGCCGACCUGAGAGGGAGAUCGGCGACACUGGAACAGAGAAACGGACCAGAGUACGACGGGAGGGAGCAGUAGGGAAUAGGCCGCAAUGGGCGAAAGCGUGACGGAGCAACGGCGCGUGAGUGAAGAAGGACUUCGGAUCGUAAAACUAUGUUAUGAGGGAAGAAAAAAAGUGUAAGAAAAUGAGGAGAGAAUGACGGUAACUAAACAGAAAGCAACGGCUAACUACGUG
rnacentral:rRNA from 1 species